CCCUUAGAUGUUCUGGGCUGCACGCGCGCUACACUGAAGCUAUCAACACGUUUUCCCUCCCUGAGAAGGGCGGGUAACCUUUUGAAUCAGCUUCGUGGUAGGGAUCGGGGCUUGCAAUUGUUCCCCGUGAACCAGGAAUUCCUAGUAGACGCGAGUCAUAAGCUCGCAUCGAUUAAGUCCCUGCCCUUUGUACACACCGCCCGUCGCUACUACCGAUUGAACGUUUUAGUGAGGCAUUUGGACCGACGCAUCUCAGUUUAACCGCUGAUUUGUGUUGGAAAGACUUCCAAACUUGAGCGUUUAGAGGAAGUAAAAGUCGUAACA
rnacentral:rRNA from 1 species